rnacentral:snRNA from 1 species
AUACUUACCUGUCAGGAGAGAUACCAGGAUCACGAAGGUGGGUUUUCCCAGGGCGAGACUUAUCCAUUGCACCCAGGAUGUGCUGACCCCUGCAAUUUCCCCCAAAUGUGGGAAACUUGACUGCAUAAUUUGUGGUAGUGGGGGGCUACAUUCGUGUUUCUCCCCU